AACUCGAUAUAAAGACAUAAAGCUGUUAAAGGCAAGUUCUAAAGUUUGAAUUGCAAGAUUUAAACUUGCAAUUCUGAGAAAAAAAGUCAGAAUUGUGAGAUAAAAAGUUGCAAUGACCUUUUUUAUUCUUUUAUCCCAUGGCAGAAACAAGCUUCCAUACUUACAAAUGCACGAUGAGACAAGAAAAGACUAUUAAGCGCUCUGUGAAAGGUAAACACACUCGGCACCUGCCGAUGGAUACCAUCUCGGUCCGUCUUACUCUCAUGCAGAUCUCACUGUUGACAUACACACACAAACACAUUUGCAUUUGUCCAACGUAACUGCAUUUGACAACACGCAGGGUCAGGAGUGGGCUAAGCAGCAAUUAGGUUUGUUUUCAUCUCUAGUAAAUGUGUGUGUGUUUGUGUGUGUGUAUGUGUGUGUGUGUAGGUAUGUGUGUGUGUGUGUCAACAGCGAGACAGAUCACCUGAGCCUUGCACUACACUUAGCACAAUGCUGAGAGAAAUUACAUUUGGUAAACAAACAUUCUGCCAUCUGCCUUGGCUGGUGUUGUGAAUAAACACGUAGACUGUUACCAGGUCACUCUCAACAUCCCAGAGAGGCACACAAGGCCUGUCUCAGAGAACUGUCUGGCUACAGAGUAACUCAGCUCCCGCUCUGAUACCGGAGCCCAUCUGUUCACCAUAAGAUUUGGAUUCGCUCUCUGAAAUAACUUGUGACAGGAGACAAUAGUGAAUUUUUUGGCUGAACAUUUGUUACUUCUUCAUUUUUUAUUUCGAGCAGGGCACAACAAACUUCAAAGCUUUUAAAGGGAUAGUUCUGAUGAAAAUGAACAUUCUGUCAUCAUUUACUCGCCCUCAAGUGGUUCCAAACUUGUAUGACUUUCUUUCUUCUGUGGAACACGAAAGAAGAUAUUUUGAAGAAUGUUGAUAAACAAACAGUUUUGGUGACCACUGAAUUCCAUUGUAUGGACUAAAAAGACUGAAGGUGAUGAUACACGGGGCAACUUUUUGAGCAAUGUCGCCGAGCGAUGAUGCUUGGGCACUUUCUCAUUGAUAUUGGGCAACAAAUUUCGAUCUAAAGUAUCGAAAAGUAGAAAUUUGUUGCCCAUUCUCAAUGGGAAACUCAAUUGCUCAAAAAGUUGCCCCGUGUAUCAUCACCUUGAGACCUUUCUCAAAAUAUCCUCUUUUAUGUUCUUCCAAAAGUAAGUCAUACAGGUUUGGAGUAAAUUAUGGCAGAAUUUUCAUUUUAAUUUAAUUAAAUGAUUACAGAAUUUCCCUUUAUUUAAAGACUUGGCUUAACUCAUGAAUAUUCAUGAAAUUGUGCUUAUGACCUUUUACUGUUGAUUAUGCGAUGUAUUGUUCAAGUUUGUAGUAUUUGCUCAUUUCCAAGUCAAAACUGGAAUGUAUAAAAAUUAUUUAAAGCUUUCAAUAGCAAAAUGAGUUGCUAUUUUUUCCAACAAAACCUAUUUGUGUAAGAUGUACACAUUUAUAUGCUUUUGUUUGCAUUUGGUUUUGUAAUGUAACUUUAAAGGAAUAGAAUCAGAGCACGUCUAAGAAAUUUUUUACAUUAAAUAUUUGAUUAAAAAAAGCAUUCAUUCACAUAUAUACAUACAUAUAUUUUAAACACACAUUAUAUAUAUAUAUAUAUAUAUGUGUGUGUGUGUGUGUGUGUGUUUGUGUGUUUAAAAUAUAUUAAAAUAAAAACAGAUAUUUUAAAUUGUAAUAAAAUUUCACAAUGUUACUGUUUUCACUGUACUUUCAAUCAAUUAAAUGCACCCUUGGUGAACAGAGAAACUUCUUUAAAAAAAACAUAAAAUGAAUGGUAUUGUACAUAUAUAAUCAUUUCAUUUUAAUUGUCUUAAUAACCACUCUGAAAAAAGGCUGUUUAAUGAAGAGGCGAGGAUGAAUGCAUUAUAAUGUUUGAAACUUUAAUUAACCUUCUUGAAUCUAAUUGCUUGCGUCUUUUAACAAACAACCCCCUAAACAGCUGGCAGACUCCACCAGUGUCCAUACCCCCUCUGUUCCACAUCAUGUACUCCAGUCAUUCACAGACACCUUUUGCUGUGCAACCACAGCAGGUGUGAGAAAUGAAUCCCCAGGAGCUUCAGGUUCAAUCAAACCAGAGACCAGACCUGAUCUGAAUGGAUAAUUAGGCUACAUCUCCGACCAGAGAGGCACAAUGCUUGUAUUGUACCACUGAGGACACAGAUGUAGCACUGACAGUUUCAGCUGUUAAAGGGCACAAGCUUUAAAAUAUAAAGCCUUUGUUAUGAAUAAAUAUUCUCAGUGUUGUUUGCAUAAACAGUAUGUUCAACGUUGCAGGGAACAGCACAUCAGUGUGGGACUAUGCAAGCCUAUGUGACGUUACCAUAAACAACAGCCUCAAAGUAUAGAAAUAACGUUCAAAUGGAAACACUGGCUUGGAAACUUACUCUUGCCUAAAUGGAAACUUUUUUUUUUACAACGUAGCCUGAAUAAUUUAAACAACCAUUUCACUGGGCUGUAACUGGGGGCUACAUACUACUCAAAAACUGCCUCCAGCGAAGUGUUUUUACAGGAUUAGUUCACUUCAUAAUUAAAAUUUCCUAAUAAUUUAUCCACCCCCAUGUUAUUCAAGAUGUUUAUGUCUUUCUUUCUUCAGUCAAAAAGAAAUUAAGGUUUUUGAGGAAGUUUUUUUCUCCAUAUAGUGGACUUCACUGUGGUACAACAGGUUGAAUUGCACUGUCAAUGCAGCUUCAAAGGGCUCUACAUGAUCCCAGACAAAGAAUAAGGGUCUUAAUCUAGCAAAACGAUCAGUCAUUUUCUAAAAAAAAAAAAAAAAAAAAAUAUGUAUAUACUUCUUAACCACAAAUGCUCAUCUUGCACUGCUCUGCGAUCACGUUGGAAAGGUCACGCAUGACGUAGGGGGAAGUACCGAUCCAGCGUCUACAAAGCAAACAUGCAAAGAAUAAUUCAAACGCCCUUUACAAAAAAAGGCAAAACAACGUCAGACGAUUUUGAAGUUGGAGGAGAAAAUGGGAUGGAGUUUUUCGCUCUAACGCGGUACUUCCGCCACACGUGACCUUUCCAGCGUGAUUACAUAAUGCGUGGCGCAUCACAGAGCAGUGCAAGAUGAGCAUUUGUGGUUAAAAAGUAUAUACAUUUUUAUUUUUUUUAGAAAAUUACCUAUCGUUUCACUAGACAAGACCUUUACUCCUCGUCUGGGAUUACACUAUAGGGAGAAAAAUCCUGGAAUGUUUUCCUCAAAAACCUUAAUUUCUUUUCGACUGAAGAAAGAAACACAUAAACAUCUUGGAUGACUUGGUGAGUAAAUUAUCAGGAAAUUUACAUUCUGAAGUGAACUAAUCCUUUAACUAACAAAAAAACUUACAUUAUGAAACAAUUCAAUGUGAGAACAUGCCAGUUAGUUUCAGUUUUGCUUUGUUAGUUGUUGUUAUUUUUAGUAACGUUAACUCACUUGUUUUAUAGGCCAUAAUUAGAGGUUCCAUUUUCAACUAUGAAAACAUGCCCUUUCUUGCAUAGAUAAUGGAAGAAAAAGUCUCUGGAACGGGACACGUUUAGUCCAUGUUGUAUUGGGAACUUCUCCCAGACCAUCACUACAGGAGUAAUGGAAAAAAUAAACCAAACAUUCUCUCUCUCUCUGGCAUAGUAAAUGAGAAGUCACUGAUGCUGCUCUAAGUUGCCCUCCUCUGUUUUACUCACUCCUCUACUCACAGAGGCUUAUGUAACCACUUCUGUCGCUUCAAACUCAAGGCUCUACAGGAGAGGAAGGGGAUCUUGAACUCCCUUUAGAAGCAGGACGCCUGCAAGCAUUCCACAGGAAGGAAGUAGAGACAAGCAAUGAGACGCCAGCACAACGCUGCACCUUCAAGCAAAUAAAACUCUACAAAAGAAACUACAGAACAUUUCAAUGCCUGCAAAUACUGCUCAAUGCCUAACUGUAUCUUUCUGGAUCUUGAGAGUGCAGUGACAUUGCUGGCAAUAGAGGCCAAACUGAGCCAUCGGAUUUCAUCAAAAAUAUCUUAAUUUGUGUUCUGAAGAUGAACGAAGGUCUUACGGGUGUGGAACGACAUGAGGUACAUUAAUGGAUCUUGAGAGAGGAAAUGUCAUUGCUGGCUAUGGAGGCCUCACUGAGCCAUCAGAUUUCAACAAAAAUAUCUUAAUUUGUGUUCCGAAGAUGAACGAAGGUCCUACAGGUGUGGAACGGCAUGAGGGUGCAGGUUUGGGUGGGCUGUUGAAGGAUCUAUUGAGAGCUGACAGAAAUCUAGAUCGAGAAGGGGUGUUGUUAAAUUAAUCAGCAUAAACAAAUGUGUUUAUAUGUAAAACCGCUGUCUCACUGUUGAUUAUAUUGAUU